AGUGGCUCUGCACCCCUGGCUGGGAGGCUGCCGGGGACUGCGCGCCUGGAGGAGUGGAUGUUGCCUUUGCAUCAAAUGCCCUUCUGUGACAACGAAACAUUUCUACUGAUAUAAAUGGGCUGCUUUAAAUGCGUUUAAAAGUUGAUGUGGCCACAACGUAGUCAGUGGAGGAAAGGGUUUUUUGCAGUUGUGUUGUCACAGCGAGCUGGAACAUGCACAGGGCAAUGAGGGCUGUGCAGGUGCCCUUGAGUGAACAGAAGUGUGACAAGGACGUACCUUGAGUGACAAACAUUGAGCUCUGACGUCAGGAUGGACUGUCCUAUGUUUCUAAUUAAUGACUUUCCUCUGCUUACAAGUUCUGAAAAGUAGGUGCGUGGUGGUGGAUGGGCUGCUUCUUCGGGGGAGAAGAGUGUUCGUUGUGAGG